CCCUUAGUUGUUCUGGGCAGCACGCGCGCUACAAUGGUCUUCGCAAACGGAUGCAUUCUCGAAGGAGAAUGCCAAUCUUGGAAUCUAUGCCUUGGUCGGGACAGUUGCUUGCAAUUUUUCGACUCGAACCAGGAAUUCCUUGUAAUCGUGAUUCAUCACAUCACGAUGAAUACGUCCCUGCCCUUUGUACACACCGCCCGUCGCUCCUACCGAUCGAAGAGUUAGGUGAAUUGUUUUGAUCGAUAAGAUUUGACUAUGGUCAACUCUCGUUGUGAAAUUCUGUGAAUCUGACUGUUUAGAGGAAGGAAAAGUCGUAACA
rnacentral:rRNA from 1 species